AUUGAACGCUGGCGGCAUGCCUUACACAUGCAAGUCGAACGGUAACAGGUUAAGCUGACGAGUGGCGAACGGGUGAGUAAUGUAUCGGAACGUGCCCAGUCGUGGGGGAUAACUGCUCGAAAGAGCAGCUAAUACCGCAUACGACCUGAGGGUGAAAGCGGCGGAUCGCAAGACCUCGCGCGAUUGGAGCGGCCGAGAUCAGAUUAGCUAGUUGGUGGGGUAAAGGCUCACCAAGCCGACGAUCUGUAGCUGGUCUGAGAGGACGACCAGCCACACUGGGACUGAGACACGGCCCAGACUCCUGCGGGAGGCAGCAGUGGGGAAUUUUGGACAAUGGGCGCAAGCCUGAUCCAGCCAUGCCGCGUGCGGGAAGAAGGCCUUCGGGUUGUAAACCGCUUUUGUCAGGGAAGAAAAGGUUCUGGCUAAUACCUGGGACUCAUGACGGUACCUGAAGAAUAAGCACCGGCUAACUACGUG
rnacentral:rRNA from 1 species